GGUGUUAUAGUAUAGUGGUUAGUACGACACGUUGUGGCCGUGUAGACCCAGGUUCGAUUCCUGGUAACGCCA